CCUUCCCUCAUUAGCACAGUAAAGAUGAAUCCCUGUGAAACCCUGGGGCUGGCAACCUCUGGAAACGUGCUUUACUGGCCAUCCUGUGACUCAGGAGGAGACUGUAGCCAGCUGACGAGGCUUGGAGGAUCUGUCCUGCUCGAGCAUAUGGCAGCACGAACCUGGGGAUGGCAGGGAGCCCGACGUGCACGGUGCACACGCUGACGAGCUCCCAGCCCCUCCGUGGGCACCAUCUGUCCCCUCAGAGCCGCCAGCACCGACCUUG